UGCGAACUCCUACGGGAGGCAGCAGUGGGGAAUUUUGGACAAUGGGGGCAACCCUGAUCCAGCAAUGCCGCGUGAGUGAAGAAGGCCUUCGGGUUGUAAAGCUCUUUUGUCAGGGAAGAAACGGUAGUAGCUAAUAUCUAUUACUAAUGACGGUACCUGAAGAAUAAGCGCCGGCUAACUACGUGCCAGCAGCCGCGGUAAUACUUAGGGUGCAAGCGUUAAUCGGAAUUACUGGGCGUAAAGCGUGCGCAGGCGGUUGUGUAAGUCAGAUGUGAAAUCCCCGGGCUCAACCUGGGAAUUGCAUUUGAGACUGCACGGCUAGAGUGUGUCAGAUGGGGGUAGAAUUCCACGUGUAGCAGUGAAAUGCGUAGGUAUGUGGUGGAAUACCGAUGGCGAAGGCAGGCCCCUGGGAUAACACUGACGCUCAUGAACGAAGGCGUGGGGAGCAACCAGGAUUAGAAACCCUGGUAGUCCAGAUG
rnacentral:rRNA from 1 species